rnacentral:rRNA from 1 species
AGAGUUUGAUCAUGGCUCAGAUUGAACGCUGGCGGCAGGCUUAACACAUGCAAGUCGAACGGUAACAGAAGAGCUUGCUCUUGCUGACGAGUGGCGGACGGGUGAGUAAUGUAUGGGGAUCUGCCGAAUGGAGGGGGACAACAGUUGGAAACGACUGCUAAUACCGCAUAAUGUCGCGAGACCAAAGCGUGGGACUUUCGGGCCACGUACCAUUUGAUGAACCCAUAUGGGAUUAGCUAGUAGGUGGGGUAAUGGCUCACCUAGGCGACGAUCUCUAGCUGGUCUGAGAGGAUGACCAGCCACACUGGAACUGAGACACGGUCCAGACUCCUACGGGAGGCAGCAGUGGGGAAUAUUGCACAAUGGGGGAAACCCUGAUGCAGCCAUGCCGCGUGUAUGAAGAAGGCCUUAGGGUUGUAAAGUACUUUCGGUGAUGAGGAAGGUAACAAUUCUAACAGGAUUGUUAAUUGACGUUAAUUACAGAAGAAGCACCGGCUAACUCCGUGCCAGCAGCCGCGGUAAUACGGAGGGUGCGAGCGUUAAUCGGAAUGACUGGGCGUAAAGGGCAUGUAGGCGGAUGAUUAAGUUAGGUGUGAAAGCCCCGAGCUCAACUUGGGAAUUGCACUUAAAACUGGUCGUCUGGAGUAUUGUAGAGGAAGGUAGAAUUCCACGUGUAGCGGUGAAAUGCGUAGAGAUGUGGAGGAAUACCGGUGGCGAAGGCGGCCUUCUGGACAGAUACUGACGCUGAGAUGCGAAAGCGUGGGGAGCAAACAGGAUUAGAUACCCUGGUAGUCCACGCUGUAAACGAUGUCGAUUUGGAGUUUGGAGGCAUGACCUCUGGGCUCCGGAGCUAACGCAUUAAAUCGACCGCCUGGGGAGUACGGCCGCA